UUCCUCUGGCCUGCAUCAGGCCUGCAGCCUCCCGGCUCUAAGCUGGAGUCCCAGACUGGUGCUGGGGUGGGAAAGGCGCCUUUCCCAGGGCAUCCUCUGAGAUUCAAGUCUGAUCAUGUGGUAGGAGCUGGGUACCCUGAGAGAGAGCCGUUCAAGCAGUGCCCUGCCUGCAUCCCUGUGCCACCCUACCAGCCCUUCCCACUUUCGGAAGGCCAGGAUUCAUCCUCUGCUCUGGGGGUCCCUCAACAAAGAGGCUUUCGGCACGUCUCCUGCGGCCCCUAUCAUGGAAAUAGCUUGGUGUCAGAACCAGCCAGAGACCUGCAGCCAACCUACUGCUCACCCCCUCCCCCUCCACUACCACCUCCCCCACCCCAGCCACAGCAGCCCCACUUCCUCCCACCAGGCUACCUCUCUGCUCUCCACUUCCUGCCACCGCCACCACCGCCACCAUCUCCACCGUCUUUCUCGCUGACCAUCCUGUAUGAUACAGACAAGGAGAAAACCAAUGAGCAGGGCGCAGACGCCCCCAGUGAGCCCAGCCAGCAGUCUACCCAGGAGGAGUCCAACUAAGCUGACGGCCACCUUGAAGGCCACUGGGUGGGGAUGGGUGGGUUUUUUUUCCCACCAUGUUCGUGUUAUAUAGGGAGGAAGGAUACUGACAGAUUUAAGAAGGCAGCUAAUUCCGACUUCAAGUUAUAAGGGGAGAGGUGGUUUCCAAGGUUCUCUGGAUCCUGUGUGGGUGUUGAAGUGGUGUACGAAGGGGGAGAGUCUCUGGGAUGGGCAGGGCCUUUGAAGAGUGGGGGCUGGUGAAACACAAGUUUAGGAAUGAAUUUAACCAUCCUGAGUCAUGUAUGAAAUUCACUUCUAGAGGUGAACCCCUGAUUUCCUCAAGCCUCACUCGGGACAGAAGGCACCAUCCAGUUCAGCCUUCUGCCCACUUUGCCUGAUCCCCAGGCUUGGGUACCAGGCUUGAUGUUUGAUCAAGGCUUCCAGACUAUGCAGGGCGGGUGCCAGGGACUGGGAUGUUGACAGCAGGCUCUGCAGCAUCCACUUUGCUCAGCCACCACCCCUCGCUCGACCUCUUCCAGCAAGUGAGCAUCCUGAUGGCUUCACCUCCCCGUGAAGCUCCAGCAAUGAUGGGCGUCCUUUCUCAUUUAAAAAUGUAGAUUUUAGUAUUCAAUGUUUUUAUGGUGGGCACUGAAGCAGUUCUUAGAGCAUAACAUGGCAGUUUGUUCUCCGAGGACAGCCGAGUAUUAAAUAAAGUGAGCAUUGGAAAUCCU
rnacentral:lncRNA from 1 species